UGGUGGAGUGAUUUGUCUGGUUAAUUCCGUUAACGAACGAGACCCCUGCCUGCUAAAUAGCUUGACAAAUGAGUUUUCAUUCGUUGAAGCUUCUUAGAGGGACGUGCAUUCUAUUAGAUGCAGGAAGAUAGGGGCAAUAACA
rnacentral:rRNA from 1 species